rnacentral:rRNA from 1 species
GUUGGGUUAAGUCCCGCAACGAGCGCAACCCUUGAUCUUAGUUGCCAGCAUUCAGUUGGGCACUCUAAGGUGACUGCCGGUGACAAACCGGAGGAAGGUGGGGAUGACGUCAAAUCAUCAUGCCCCUUAUGACCUGGGCUACACACGUGCUACAAUGGGCAGAACAAAGGGCAGCGAAACCGCGAGGUUAAGCCAAUCCCACAAAUCUGUUCUCAGUUCGGAUCGCAGUCUGCAACUCGACUGCGUGAAGCUGGAAUCGCUAGUAAUCGCGGAUCAGCAUGCCGCGGUGAAUACGUUCCCGGGCCUUGUACACACCGCCCGUCACACCACGAGAGUUUGUAACACCCGAAGUCGGUGAGGUAACCUUUUUGGAGCCAGCCGCCGAAGGUGGGACAGAUGAUUGGGGUGAAGUCGUAACAAGGUAGCCGUAUCGGAAGGUGCGGCUGGAUCACCUCCUUUCUA